rnacentral:snRNA from 1 species
AUGCUUGCUUCGGCAGCACAUAUACCAAAACUGGAACAAGACAGAGAUUAAUGUGGCCCCUGUGCAAACGCUAGUAGGCAAACAGGUGAAGCGCUCCAUAUUAAA